GUUAUGGAGGACUUAUGGCGUAAUAGUAUCGAACCGUGUCAGGUCUGGAAGGAAGCAGCACUAAGGUAUCUAUUGCGGGUGUGAGGUUGAUACUAUAAUUUUU
rnacentral:SRP_RNA from 3 species